AUGGCGGGGGGCGAUGAUCAGCAGAUAUCGUGAUAGUCGCGGCCAUACUGUCCAGCAAUCAAGGCAGAUGCAGCUAGGAGUUCUAGUAUAAAUUUUCUUUGUGCCUUAAAUUAAAUAGGCCCCGGAAGAAUUUAUUUGGAGUUUUACCGAUAUCGCCAUACCUACCAGCCCGAUUUGGCUGCCCAGCAACCGGUGUCCGUUCGACCGGUGCCAGCGACCAGCCAGGAAAGCCUUCCACAAUCGACGCCGACGACGUCAACAUUUCCCGGUGAGUCCGUUCCGGCGUACCGCGUCCUCAUCCUCUCGCGAACUUCCAGCGGUCGCAUUGCGGCGCUGAGAAGUAUCGCCAUUUUGUCUGGCAGCCGAAUCUCGGACUGCCCGUGCACCACUCACCGGAGAGCGCCGUUUUCCCGUGCGGAGAUCCGUAUCGCCGCUGGCCUCCGGCGGAAAGUCAUCAGCCCGGGCAAUCAUCGCCUCCAGGCCCGGCCCAACAGUGGCUGAAAAUUAGCAGAAAUUAAAUACACGUGUACAUCGAUUAUA